rnacentral:lncRNA from 1 species
CAAGAAGAAAAGUAAAAGGAAAAAGAGAAAACAGGGGGAAAGUGAUGUGAAAGAGACAGGUGAGAGAGAGAGACAGUAAAAAAGGAGAGGACUGUUCAUCGUCUUCUUCGCGACCCACCGCUCCUGCAACUCUGCACCGAAGCACCACUGACGCCACCGGAGCCCCAAAUCAGCCGUACCGCCAAGCCGGAGUGCCCCCCUCCCCCCCGAUUUGCAGCGAUUUGCAGUGACCCACGCGGCCGGACCCGAGCCAGAUCUCCCCACCGCCUGCACCGCGUCGGCUCCGAGCUUCCCCCGACGACCUCGCUGCGACUCGUUUCCCCUACUUGCCAGACGCCGCACCGUCGUUCCGUUCACGAUUGCCUGCUGCCGACUAUUGGCGCCGCCUCGAGCUCAGCCACCACCGGAUCUAGAUCCGUGCCACCCUGGUGCCGUUCGCCUCUGCCGUCUUUCCCCACCGAAGCUCUGCCGAGACCAGACCCGAGGCAGAUCUGCCCAACACCGCCUGCUGUUACUCGGAGCCGAGGCCCUGCAACCCGUCUCCGUGUGCUCGUGCCCCUGUGAAGCGGCGACCCAUCUCUGCCCUUGGUGCGCUCGCCAGCCAUCGCCGCGUCCCUGCACCGACGUUGUCACUGCCCCGACGACCCGUGCCACCACGACGCCGAGCCUCGCCGUGCCUCCUUCGCGAGCAACCCACGACGCCAGCCCAGUCGUUCGCGACUUCCCCUGCCGACGCCGCUCCUGCCCUGCUCUGCCACUCGCCCAUGAUUGCCCAGCAGCUGCUCCGCCUCCGAUCAGUGACCCAUAUCGAAGCCAGGCGGACCCGCAUCACCUCUGCUCCGCCUUUGAAACUGCUGCCGUUGCCGAUCCAAUUGUCAGCCUUGCUCCAAGUUAUCUUCCCGUGCUCUGCCGUUUGCUGCCGCCGGAAUUUACCUCGCCGGAGUUCCCCUUGCCGGACCGACGACUUGCUGCCCCUGAAGAUCCACGAGCAAGGUUUUAGAAAAAAAACAAAAGAAAGAAAAAGGAAAAGAAAUUAGGUAGUUUUAUUUUUCUUUUUCUAUUUAUUUUAUUUAUUUCUUUUAAGUUUUGGGGUGAUCUUUAUUUUAUGGAUUUUGUAGGCAUUAUCCAC